CUCCUGUGAUUUCUGACGCGGCGGCCACCUUGUACUUCCUGGUCGCACCAGCCAACCAGGAUGAAGAACAAGAGCGAGGGCAGCUACCUCUCAAAGGCAGCGGCGCUCCGCCCGAGGUGGACACGCGAGUCGCCGCCACCUCAGAGGCGGGCAGGGAAGGGAGGACGACGCUGCCCCCGCCGCCUGAGGAUACGUCAGUCGCAGCCCGCUCCCUCGGCUGAAGGCCACGCAGCCCGCGGCGGAAGGGAGGCGGCCAGGAGCGGGAAGAAGGCGGCUUCCCCUCCGCCGCCUCCACCCGUCAGUCCUCUCUCUUUCACACACGGACACACGUACAACACCUGAGGGAGGGGGGGUGAGCUCACAGAGGAGAUGCGAAUUUCGAGAGUUCCACUUCCGGGCCCGGGAUGACGUCACACACAACCCGCGCGCAAUCUAAGGGACAAAAGGAAGGCGGGGGAGGGGCUUCCUUCCUGCCCGCCCGCCCGCUUCCUGCGCUCAGAGAAGUCGCUGUCAAGUCCGGAUCGAGAGAGAGCGAGCCUAGGCGUCAGCGAGAUAAUGCGCUGGGUCGUCAACAGUGAGCAUGCGCAGGUCCCCUUGGAGUCUGCUCAGUAAGAGCCGACGAAGCCGCCGGUUGCUUCUCUUUUGCCCUCAGAUGGUGAAGGAACUUCCACUUCAGUACGAUUAGCCCAAGCUAUCAGAUCCGUUGCUUGCAGCCCCAAACCUACCUGGAUGCAUUUUGGCUUGCUUGCUGGUGAAAGCGACCAUGUGGUGAUUGAUAAUAUCGUCAUCCCUAAGUAGUAGCAGUUGCCAGCACAUUGUCCUGUUUGCAUCUGCAUAGUUUCAUCCUUAUUUUGGACAUUGUAGUAGAUUGCAAUGUUUCGCUGGUUGAUGUAUCGUGAUGUUAAAAACCAGAUAUCGCCAGCCCUCACACAUGUCAUAAUUAGUGAUAUAUUGCCAGGUCAAAUAUUGUGAAACAGUUAUCACGAUGCAAACUUCAAACUGAUACAUUCCCCAGUCCUAGGAACUACUGUGGAAAAGUAGUAAUUUCCAUGUUAGGGAUCAUUAGGAAAGGGAUUUAAAAUAAAUCUGCCAACAUCAUGUCAUCUAUAGUGAAACCACAAAUAGAAUAUUGUGUACAGUUCUCACUGCAAAAAGGAUGUUGUAGAGCUGGAAAAGUUUCAGAAAAGGGCAACCAAAACUAUCAAGGGUUUGAAGCAACUACAUUUCAGGCUCUUUGGUUUAGAAAAAUGGUGAGUAAGGAGGGUGCAGCAAAAGAUGUCACUGUGAAUUCUUCCCAAUUGGCUAGACUAAAUUAUACUAAUAACUUUAUUAGUUAAAGAUGUGGAAAGCUGGAGAGUAAUUAACACAUAUAUUCACACUGUAAGGUAAUACGGCUUUAGAGAAGAUGCCAAGAUAGAAUCAUAGAGUUGGAAGAGACCACGAAGGCCAUCCAGUCCAACCCCCUGCCAAGCAGGAAACACCAUCAAAGCAUUCUUGACAUAUGGCCGUCAAGCCUCUGCUUAAAGACCUCCAAAGAAGGAGACUCCACCACACUCCUUGGUAGCAAAUUCCACUGCCGAACAGCUCUUACUGUCAGGAAGUUCUUCCUAAUGUUUAGGUGGAAUCUUCUUUCUUGAAGUUUUAAUCCAUUGCUCCGUGUCCGCUUCUCUGGAGCAGCAGAAAACAACCUUUCUCCCUCCUCUAUAUGACAUCCUUUCAUAUAUUUGAACAUGGCUAUCAUAUCACCCCUUAACCUUCUCUUCUCCAGGCUAAACAUACCCAGCUCCCUAAGCAAGAUAAAGCAAGAUACCCUAAGCAAGAUACCCAGCUCCCUAAGUAGAUAAAUCAUCUACCUUUUGCUAUGCAUACCCUAUGGAUUUUUCUUUAUUCUCCUUGUACAUUGCUGUUCUGUGGACUCAAAAUAAGUUCAGUGCAACUUGUAUUUGAUGCGUGCUUUGCGUUAAGUGACAUUUUGUAGACUUAGAAAUCUGGUGCUCCCCCUGAUACUUGUAAGCAGGUAAUAGAACAUGUAGAACUGAUGUCGUGGGAGUUUCUGAAGUUUAUUCAAAGGAAUACCUUAUUUAAUUUCAAUGACAUACCUUUGGGGGGGGGGAGUUGAUGAAAACUACAUUGCCCUAAAGCAAGUCACUUUAACAUAAUAAUCCAUUUGGUUUAGGGACAGUGUGUUCCACAUGAUUUCUAAAAUUCUGAAUAUUACAGGUUUGGCCUUAUUUCAAGGAGCAAAGAAAGAAAUUUAAGGCAUUAAUAAUCUAUUUACUGGUAGCACCUGGAUGGAGAUUGCCUACUUAUGGAGAAGGGAUCAUUUGCUAACUUUGGAAAACUGGAACAAUAGGGUUUAGAAGGUUACACUUGUAGACGAACUAGCACAAGAUGGUACAGUACACAAGAUGGUACAGAGGCAGCAUUACUGGAGAUAAAUUUUAUGAUCAACAGUCUCCAUUUCUUUCAUUAAUUCCUCACCAGAACCUAGACCAACUUUUGUUCACUUUUUGUUAUCCUGAACCUUAUCUUGAUAUUUCAGAGCUCUUUCUUUAUAUAUCAUGUCAUUGACUCCCUACAAGGUUUAAAGAAGCUGUUGUUAACUCUGCAAGUCUGUUGAUGUAAUCAAUCCUUUAUGCUUGGCAUUUAUUGAUAUAUUCUUUCCAAAGUGUGUAACAAGGACUCAUUGUUCAUUUCCCCCUUGAUACAAUGUUUGGAAUGUUUAAUGUUUUGUCUGUAGUUGUAUGUGUGGUUAGUUGCCUAGGUGACACUCCCAUACUCCUCCAGUUCUCCAGUUCCCCUUUAUGGGGAAGUGUUGCAGCUCAGCAGUAGAGUAUUUGCUUUGCAUGGGUUUUUUAUUUUAUUUUACAACUUAUCUGGAUGAAGACAUGGCUGAAUUCAUAGUGACCAAGUAGCUAAGGGCAUACUGUAUCUCAAUCUGUCCUCUUCUUCUGGAUGAUUCCAAACCAUCUAAAAAUAUUAUAUCUUUGCUCUUCUGAAUUGCAUGCCUUUUAAAAAGUUCUUUUUGUUAUCUUCAAAGAUAAUAGAUUUUUUAAAAGAAUAAAAUACAAAGAGCAUGAAGAACAAGGGUUGUACCACCAAUCAUGAAAAAAAUGAAGGGCACUGAUAUUUUAAUAAUAUCAAGCAUAAUCUAUCUGAAUGACAGGAAAUGACAUGUGAUCGUCCCAGGGCAAUCUGAGUACCACUUACCUUCCUCAACCAAUGCCAAUUUCCUGGAAGUCUUUGUAGGGAAAGGUUACUUCCUGCCUUUUGAAUUUUAAUGGGAAGAGUUGUAGCUGAUCUCCCAAAGGGUAUUGUUCAAAACAUGUUGGAAUUAUCACACUUCUUUCCUUAUUUGUUCAGUUUUUUAUGCUUGAUAUUAUUAAGAUAUUAACCCUGCACCUGUGUGGCUUUCCAUAUAUUCUUUUUGUCAGUAAGAAAAAGCAGCUGCUGGGUGAUCCUCUAAAGUGGGAUUGCAUGUGGGUGCUAGAUGACUAUUAAAAUCAAACAAGGCAGGUCUUGCAAGCAGUAGUUAAAUCAUCAGUAGGUUCGGUUAAGGCUGUAAUAUUCCCAUUGCCUUAGGAGUGCAUGCGUAAUUGCACCUGUGUUCUUGAAGUCUGAUCAUGCAAGACAAAGAAUGCCCUCAGCUUUCAGUUAUGCACUUGGUUGCAACUAGCACUUUGCAGGCAGCAAUCACAUUUCCCAGAAUUAGGUUCUCAGCCUCCAAGUGUCAUGAUAAUGUUUGUAUGGGAUGGAUUUUCAUUUGCACUCAGUACUUGAUCUGUGCCCAAAAGGGCUAUUUCUUUGUUCACAUUGAAGUGCAGACUGCUAAGAGAACAUAAAAUAAUCUUUUCGAAUUCAGGAACAGCUCAUUUAUUUUGGUUUCAAUAUUAUUAUGUCAAGAAUAAAAGGGAAAUAAAUAUCCACAUUAAUUUUGCAUUUGCUAUAAAAAAUAUUAAAGGGUUGUUUUCCACAUUACAAAUUUUGACACUAGGGGGCUCCCCACAAGUCAUUUUGAGAUAAUGUAUCUGAAUCACUUUGAAGUAUUAAAUUGUGGUAUAUAAACACUAUGCGCUUCUGUUGUUAUGACUGCUACUAUUAUGCCUUUAAAAAGUAAUGUGAUAGAGUUGACUACACAUACGGUAGCUGGAUUUCAGGAAGAUUAGUACUGCAAGUUCUGGAACCAACUCAACAUGAACAAUACAGUUCUCAAAACUAAUGAGAAGUAACCCAGCUUUUCUAUGUAAGAUUUUCAGGAAAUGGCAUCUUAGGAAUUACAAACAGUAUAUUUUGUCUUGUGCAUUUUAAUCCUCAGAGGAAACAGCACAACUAUAUGUCAAAGGUUGAUCAAACUCUUCCUUCUUUUGUACUCAUCUAUUUUCCAUAGCUCUGUGGUUUUUCUAUCUAGCUCAGCCUUUUGAAUACUGAUGAUGUAGGGUUGCCAUAUCUGGACACAAAAGUUGUUGAGCUUUUUUUUUUUAGUUUAGUUUAGCCUGAGGUUGCUGAGCUUUUUCUUCUUUUGUAAAAAGGAAAUUCACCAAAUUCUACAUGCAAAUUCCAUAUGCAAAUUCAAUUCCAGAUUUUCUAUGGAACCAAAACAUUGUUCUGUUCUAGGUAUAUGUGUGUAUCUAAUCAAUCCCAGUGGAGGCUGGUCUGCUGUGUUUAUUGGGACCCAACCUUCCUACUGAAAAUGUCAAGCAAUUAAAAAAAAAAUCCUCCUCAAAUUUUCAAAGCCACACUUUCCUGUCCCACACACAUUUUAUAUUUCCUUGAAUUUAAGGGGCAUUUCUGUUAAUCUCCUGAUCUCUCUGGCCAAUCAGCUUUCCGAGCCACUCAGCCAGUUGUAAAAGUAUAGCUAUGGCAAUGAGAUCUCUCCCAUCUGUCUCUAAACAGAAAAAUCAUGUGGUCAGCCCUGGUAGGAAAUCUCUUACUCCAUCUGUUGUUCUGAGGCCUGUUCAGUACAGCCAUUAGCAGUUAUAUGAGGAUUUAGGGCAGCUUCAAAACAGUCCUAUGUGAUAGGCUAAUGCUAUAAGAACCAUAUGUUAGUUCUGAGCAUGCUCAGAGCUGUUUCCUUGAAGGCUACAGAAGCAAUAAGGAGUGUUUACUAAUUGGAGGAACUUUUGUUUGUUUAAUAUUCAUUUUGUGACUUUGCUAGAGAGUGGGAGUGAGUGACCAAGGAAGCAACAGCAAGUCUAAGUCUAAUUAAUAGUUAUUCUUUACUUAAUCAUUUUGUGUUUAUUUUUUUGAACUGGGAAAUUGGAAGAAGUAAUAGAGGAUGGAAAUAUGUGUUGUACCUGAUCCUGUUUUAAUAUUAUUCUGCCAAGAAUAAAAGGGAAAUAAAUACCCACAUUAAUUUUGUGUUUACUAAAAAAAUAUAUUAAAGGGUUGCUUCCCACAUUACCAAUUUUGACACUUUCCCUACAUUCACUCAAUAAAAGCUGCAGCUGCUGCUGGACGCACAGGGUAAUUUUAAAACAAAUUUAUGUGGAUAUUAAUGAAUUCUAGAUCAAUUGGGUGACGGACAUGGAAAGCAAUCAAAGAUGUGUAUUGAUUGCUCUUGGAACUAAUAAUUGUUUUUUGCAUGACUGUAAUUUCCCAAAUUUUGGAAAUAUUUUUAUGGCGAGAUCUCAGUUUCCAAGGAAUUUUAGUUGCCCAUUGUCAGGGAGUUGUUGUGGCUACUUCCGAGUAAAGACGCUCCAGUCCGUUGUGUCUUUAAAGGUUUUAUUGUGCAUACUAUUUACAGUUCAGAAAUAGCAGAAAACAUGACCUCCUAGUCACCCUCAGAACCCGGCAAUGGCGUCCGUCGGCUUCGGGGCCAGCAUAAUAACCUGGGCACCCCGAAACGCCGCCCCUUCGCCCUACGUUUGGGCACGCGCCUCAAUUUGGGUGCCGGAAGGAGCGGUGCCCCUUCUGCCCCUGGCCGGCUGGGGCAGUGCCUGGGUUCCGACGUCUCCCUGAGCCGUCCCUCCUCCACUUGUUGGUCAGAGUGGUGCAGGGGAUCUGAUGCCUCACUGAGCCCUUCCUUCACCGUCUAUUCCCCAGAGCAUUGCCAGGGCUCUGAUGCCUCGCUAAGCCUUCCCUCCUCCAUUCCGCUCCCCCCUGACCCACUGCUAGCGCUGCCGCUGGGCGAAGUGCUGGUCAGGAUGAUGGGGGGGGGAAGGCUCCCUGUAGGGAGUCCCCCUGACACCCAUGGUAUGUUAAGGGGCCAUUUGUAUAAGCCAGUGCACAGGCUCUGAAUACGACAAAUGGAGAAAAAGCAAUAAGCGGGCUCCACGUUGGAUGAAGCAUGAUUACAUGCAUUGAAGUACCUAACUGUGCAAGCAGUAUACAACCUGUCUUAAAAUACCUGGUAGUUGGUAUACUGCAACCAUGUUGCUAAAAUCUGCCACAUCAUAGCACAAGAUGUGGCAGAAGACACUUUACAUCUGUCCUGUUCAUGCUCCAUUUUGUUUUCUUAAAAGUUACAUGCUUCAGAAACUGGUUUCCCCCCUGCCUUCCUCUCAGGUGGAAGUUGCCUUUCCCCCUAAAAUUUAUUCUACCUGUGUUUAGGAUAGGAAUGGCAGUUUUCAUCUAUCAAGUAAUAUUUUCAGAACUUCCAUAAAAUGAAUUUUUAGCAUAGUUUUGUCAUUGGUAGGACUUACAAGUGCUAAAUAUCAAGGAUGUUGGUACAGAGUCUGCCAGCUGAGAAGAAAAUCGAAUGUUUCUGCCAGAGGGAAACUAAUUGAAAGGAACAGGGCCCAUGUUUGGCCUCCGACUGCUGAGAGGGUGGAGCAAUGUAUUAAAGAACAUUCACUCACAAUCUAGAGUAGUUCUAGAAUCAAUAGUUUUAUUGCCCAUAGAGCCUACAAAAUGCCCUUGGAAGGAAUGUGAGAUCAUAUAGGGUUUAUAGGAGCAGUAGCUAUUAAAGAAAAGUACAUGUAUUUUGUACAUCACCUUUGACACCCCCUGUUCAAUCUUUGAGCUAUAUUAGAAAAGUUAUCACAUAACUGCAGUUCUUAUUCAAGUUACAAUCACUUCCAGCAGAACCACCAAGCACUGAAACAAACUAAGCACAAGCAUGUUUCAGAAUAAAAGAUACUCUAGUUUCAUGAGAAAUGUGACAAAUAAAAUAAAAUAAUAGGGAUAUAAAAAGAGAUUAUAUUGCUCUAGUUUACACAAUAAUGUUGUUAGGAACAAAAUGAAAAUGGCAUCACUAUACCCUAUUAUUAUGGGUAGUCAUUUAAAUAAUGGAGCCUAAACAUGGCCCUAAAAACCUUCCUGAAGACAAACCUAAAUGAAUUUCCCUGAAUAUAGAACUGGAGGAUUAAAAAAAAACUUGAAGGCAAACAACAUCAUCUCCCAAAAACAGCCAAGCCUACAUUUAUUCAUCAUGCUCACUUACCAAGAUUCUUAUUUUAUUUUGCAGGUGCUUCUUCACCAAGAAGUGCCCUGAACGUUGUACUUCUUUACUUAAACAAGAUGCAGUUGCUCCCGUAUGAUAGGCAAGCCGCCCUGGAACUCACAGACCCUGGGAUUGAAUACAGCAAAAGUUCUACCUCUUAUACUAUUGUAAAUAUUUGCACUCAUGCUGAUGAGGCAGAAGAGAGGGAAGUGCAGAGGAGGAAAUGAUAUUCUUCCCAAUACUCUGCUAGUGUUUCUACAAAUAAGAGAUUUGUACAGAAACAGGACUUUUCUACAAUAAUAAGAUGUAAAGAUACCGAAGUAUUAAGUAUAAACAAAAAGUGAAUUGUGAUAUUAGAUACUUCUAAUAAUCCUUGGGUACUUACCCUUAUAUCUACUGUAUCUGAAUGUAAAUAUAAGGGAAGAGAUAUACAGGUCAAUUCUAUUUUUGCUGCUUAAGUUGCAGGUGCUAAAGCAGAACCCUAUGCUAAGUAAGUCAGCCAGAGCUACUCAUCUGUCAUCUACUGCUGCUACAUACACAAGAGCAUCAGAUCAGACUGUCAAGAUUUUGAGAGAAGAGUCUAGAAUAAUUGCAUUCUGCUAACACUCAACUAUGUACAAAGAAAGGUUCCUGCAACUCCCAACUAUUUUGGGAGCCAGUUCCCAUUUCCUUGGGACAAGAGACAAAGGAAAAGUUUUUAUCAUUAAUCUUUGAUUUCUAGAUUCUCAAGCAGUAGGCAUACUAAAUGUGCAAUACUGUGCAUGUUUACUCAGAAGUAAAUCCCAGUAUGGGCAGACUUCCAGCUUGGUGCCACAAAGAUGGCUGAAAUUCCACCACAGCCAUUCGCACUGGUAAUUAGAGGCUGAGAUGGGAGUAAUCAGCCUCCCACCCCACCCCCAGGUUUGAGGGGGCUGUCUCAUCUGCAGUUCGCCCAACACCUAGCCCCAAAUUCGGAAGGAAUGAAGGGCCAGGGGGCGCUGGAUGCAUAGCACAGGGCGUUUCUUGGCAACUCUCCAAAGCUGUCUUUGUGAGUGACAAACUUCCAUUUCUUAAGAGGAAAAAUUGGAUUUAAGUUAUGGGCAUGCUCUGAGCAAGGAGGGAGAAAAUACUCUGCUAAUUAUCAGCCACUGAGGUGCUAAAAAAGGAUUUGAUUGGAAGAAGGAUUAUUAUCUGCGUGGAGGUAUGCUGGAACGGAAAGCGGGUGGUGGGCCUUAUUGUUUUCAUUAUACUUUGUUUUGCUAUGCUACUUAGCAAAACCCCUCUAGAAGGUUUGGCUACUUGAUUAACUAUGAAGCAAGUGAGACUGAAAAAGUUUGGUAUUUAUUGAUAUAAUACGGGUCUAAUAAGCAUCAACUGUGUGGAGACAACAAUUAUUUUAAACAGAAAAUUAAGGAUUUUGACUUUAGGCUUGUUGGAAGAAGAUUUCCUGGUUUGAUUUACAAUAUUGGCAUAGAAGCAACAUCUCAUUAACAGUUGGAGAGACGGCAAAGAACUCUGGGUGACUGCUUGGGAUUUAUGAUGCAGUUUUAAGUGGCCACCAUUAUGGACAAAAGUGCAGAGCAGUUUGUUGUCAAAGUGUAUAGUCAUAGGGGGAGGUGAGUCUUCAAUAUUAUAUGUUUGUAUUUUUAACUAAAACCCUUCCCUGCAAAGGCUAAUGUUUGAAUGACAACUGGUUUGGGAAAAGUAUGGGGCAGAUGCCUUGAUUGGAUUUAUCUGGACAGAAUGGAAAGGACAUCUGUAUCUGCAUGUAAUGGGAGGAUUCUUGGAAUGAUUUGGCAGAAAUACCAGCUUGUGAAGAGAGACUGCGAACUUAUACAGGGGAUUCCUAGACAUAAAACCACACACAGAAAUAUAUUGUUUUAUUUAUCUCGCUUGUUGGAAGAACGCAGAGACUGUGGAAAAUAAUGAGGAUUAACAUCAGAAUGACUUAUGGGAACCAUCGGAAAUGAAUACGAGAAGCAGUAGAAGUAUGAGAUGAUCAGAUUCCCUCCAAACUCAGAGCAUGGUGAAGUCUUCCCCAAAAAAUUAUAAUUUGGCAUAAUAUUUGGAUUGUUUAAUUAUUGAAUAAUUUGUAUAAUUUGGAAUAUAUGAUGUGAUUUGAUUGGAAUGUUAAAAUGGAAAAUUUAAUAAAUAUUAUUUUUUAAAAAAGGAAGUACCGGUAAAUCCCAGUAUAUUAAAUGAGGCUUACUCCUAGGCAUGUAUGCAUAGGAUUGCAAAUUUAAUGCAGCAACUCAAUAGAGUGGUCAGCUCCUAAAACUGCCAAAUUGUGUUUGAUAUCAAAAUAUGUUUUACAUAUUGCAACUAUUCUUAAUAUGGCUUCUAAUAACUUUGCACUCAUUAUACUAAAUUAUGAAACAAGACUUCUAUGUAUUGUGUUAUGUCAUGUGGACAGUCUGGUCUUGAAUUUUUAUUUAAGCUGUCCAUUGAUAUCAAAAUGCUAACUAUCUGUUGGCUCAAGCCUCCAGUACUUUGGGUUGUUUCAGGUUACCAUUCAUUUGCUAGUAAUCUAUCAGUUUGAUUUUUUAAGUUGACAGUUAUUUUAAACAUUUGAAAAUUGUUAAUAUCUUUCUUAUAUUCCUUACAAAGGUAUAUCUGUACACCAACAAACAACAGAAAAGGUAACAAAACAUAGCACUUAAAUGUUCCCUAGAAAAUACAAACAUACAAAUCAAAUUUUGUACAAAUUAUGCAGAGGGCAAGAUCCAAUGUUGUGCCAUUGAAUGUGUGGGAAUUCCCUUCCCUACUCUUCCAUCUUCCUGUCUACUCCAGAGGGGGACCUCCCCACCUGCAUGGGAGAGGGAAAGAAGGGAAAGUUUUGAUUGCACAACUUGGGGCACCACAAAUGUCACCCAGAACUUCUUUGGAAUAGCAUCAAUUCUCAGUUCUUUAUGAAUGUAGUACUCAAGUCAAGAUCUCUCUUCUGCUUUAUCUUCAGAGGCAAGAGAGGUUGGUGUGAGAUAAAGGUUUUUUAAGUGCUCUAGCAUCACUUUUUCCUCCUCUUCUAGAGUUUCUUCCUCCUUCAUCUCCCAUCUGAAAUUAAAAUACACACACACACAAAACUAUUGAAUUUCUUCAAAUUCAUUAAGCUGAUACCACACAUAUUUGCUUAAUACUGGUGAAAAUUAUUUAACUGACUUUCAUGUAUUUAGUAGACCCAAUUUAUUAUUCUUAACUGCAUAAGAUAUAUAAUUUCCCCACACACAUUUCUGCACACUCAGUAGAAAUGAUUUAUUAUUAUGGUAUUUCUAGGUCAUGGGCCGUUCAGUGCUUUGGAGUCUAUGCAUUAAACUUUUAUCUGUG